rnacentral:tRNA from 1 species
GGGACCAUAGCUCAGUGGUAGAGUGUGUGCUUAGCAUGCACAGGGUCCUGGGUUUAAUCCCCAGCAUCUCCA